UACGUAGGGUGCAAGCGUUUGUCCGGAAUUAUUGGGCGUAAAGAGCUCGUAGGCGGUCUGUCGCGUCGGCUGUGAAAACCCGGAGCUCAACUCCGGGCCUGCAGUCGAUACGGGCAGACUGGAGUUCGGCAGGGGAGACUGGAAUUCCUGGUGUAGCGGUGAAAUGCGCAGAUAUCAGGAGGAACACCGGUGGCGAAGGCGGGUCUCUGGGCCGAUACUGACGCUGAGGAGCGAAAGCGUGGGUAGCAAACAGG
rnacentral:rRNA from 1 species